rnacentral:rRNA from 1 species
AGAGUUUGAUCCUGGCUCAGGACGAACGCUGGCGGCGUGCCUAAUACAUGCAAGUCGAACGAGAGCGACCGGUGCUUGCACUGGUCAAUCUAGUGGCGAACGGGUGAGUAACACGUGGGUAACCUGCCCAUCAGAGGGGGAUAACAUUCGGAAACGGAUGCUAAAACCGCAUAGGUCUUCGAACCGCAUGGUUUGAAGAGGAAAAGAGGCGCAAGCUUCUGCUGAUGGAUGGACCCGCGGUGCAUUAGCUAGUUGGUGAGGUAACGGCUCACCAAGGCCGUGAUGCAUAGCCGACCUGAGAGGGUGAUCGGCCACAUUGGGACUGAGACACGGCCCAAACUCCUACGGGAGGCAGCAGUAGGGAAUCUUCCGCAAUGGACGCAAGUCUGACGGAGCAACGCCGCGUGAGUGAAGAAGGUUUUCGGAUCGUAAAACUCUGUUGUUAGAGAAGAACAAGUGCUAGAGUAACUGUUAGCGCCUUGACGGUAUCUAACCAGAAAGCCACGGCUAACUACGUGCCAGCAGCCGCGGUAAUACGUAGGUGGCAAGCGUUGUCCGGAUUUAUUGGGCGUAAAGCGAGCGCAGGCGGUUCCUUAAGUCUGAUGUGAAAGCCCCCGGCUCAACCGGGGAGGGUCAUUGGAAACUGGGGAACUUGAGUGCAGAAGAGGAGAGUGGAAUUCCAUGUGUAGCGGUGAAAUGCGUAGAUAUAUGGAGGAACACCAGUGGCGAAGGCGACUCUCUGGUCUGUAACUGACGCUGAGGCUCGAAAGCGUGGGUAGCAAACAGGAUUAGAUACCCUGGUAGUCCACGCCGUAAACGAUGAGUGCUAAGUG